rnacentral:rRNA from 1 species
CAUCACAACAAUUCAACUUGAGAUGGGAACUGAUCUUGUCAGACCUCAGAAGCUAAGCAAGGCUGGGCCUGGUUAGUGCUUGGAUGGGAGUCCACUGUGAAUGCCAGGUGCCACAGUGGAGC